AUCUAUAUAAUAAAACAGAGCUGUUUGAAUCUAAAAGACAACCAACGCUCUAGAUUUAUCCAUUUUUCUGCAUAAAUCUCUGCCUUCUAUCCUACAAUAGCAUGUCCAUAAAUUGAAAACUUUUUUUGACCAUUUACAAAUUAGCGGUCUAAUUUCCAAACCCUCUCUCCCCAUCCUCUCUCUCCGAAUACGGCGCCUCUCUCUCUCUCUCUCUCUCUCUCUCUCUCUGCGAAUACGGCUCCCCCUCAAGCAGAUUCUUCGCCACCGCCUCCUCCCCUCGCCAGAGACAGAUUCUUCGCCGCCUCUCUCACCGAUUCUUUGCCACCGCAGCGCAUAGCCAGAGACCGGCGCAGCCGCCGCUCUCCCAGAUUCUUCACCACUGCAGAUUAUUCACCACCGCCUCCGCCUUCUUCCCGUCCGUCCCGCUGCUCUCCCAACCGUCUAUUGAAAGAUGCGGGCACUAAUUCCCCUGGGACACCAAGUCCUCCUGGGAGGAACAUAAAACUUCAGGCUGUGAAGUGGGGCAUUCCAUAUAGUGAAGAUUGUUGUGAAGUGGGGCAUUCCAAAUAGGUAAUGAACUGAACAAUAGAUAGAGAAUGCCCACCAAUUAGAAGUUACAGUUUUUUUUUAUUAAUAGAAGUACAAGUUACAUUCAGUUCAAAUGGUAGUCUUCGGGCAAAAGUUUUCAACCGGUGAAGAAGCAAACCGGUGUUUGUAAGAAUGCCUCAUACAAGGUGUUCAAGGAAACCGAAGUCACAGUGAAGCAUUUGUCAUGCAAAUAUGUUAAGAUUAAGGUAUUUGUCAAGUAAACCUGUGAAAACUACGGAAUCAUUCCAAAAAAAGUCUACCCAUUGU